rnacentral:rRNA from 1 species
UGGGGAAUUUUGGACAAUGGGCGAAAGCCUGAUCCAGCAAUGCCGCGUGCAGGAUGAAGGCCUUCGGGUUGUAAACUGCUUUUGUACGGAACGAAAAAGCUUCUCCUAAUACGAGAGGCCCAUGACGGUACCGUAGAAUAAGCACCGGCUAACUACGUGCCAGCAGCCGCGGUAAUACGUAGGGUGCGAGCGUUAAUCGGAAUUACUGGGCGUAAAGCGUGCGCAGGCGGUUAUGUAAGACAGAUGUGAAAUCCCCGGGCUCAACCUGGGAACUGCAUUUGUGACUGUAUAGCUAGAGUACGGUAGAGGAGGAUGGUAUUCCGCGUGUAGCAGUGAAAUGCGUAGAUAUGCGGAGGAACACCGAUGGCGAAGGCAAUCCCCUGGACCUGUACUGACGCUCAUGCACGAAAGCGUGGGGAGCAAACA